rnacentral:rRNA from 1 species
CGCCUGUUUAACAAAAACAUGGCCUUUUGAAUUUAAUAUAAGGUCUGACCUGCCCAGUGAUAAUUUUAACGGCCGCGGUAUACUGACCGUGCAAAGGUAGCAUAAUCAUUAGUCUUUUAAUAGAGGGCUGGAAUGAAAGGUUUAACGAGGAACUGACUGUCUCAUUUUAUUUGUUUUAAAAUUUAAUUUUUUAGUUAAAAAGCUAAAAUUCUAUUGGUAGACGAGAAGACCCUAUAGAGCUUUACAUUAAUUUAUUUUGAUAUUUUUAUAUUAAUAUUUCUAAUUAAAUUUAUGUUUUGUUGGGGUGACAAAAAUAUAUAAUUAACUAUUUUAUUUAAUUAACAUUGAUUUAUGAAUAUUAGAUCCAUUAUUAUUGAUUAUUAGAUUAAGUUNCCUUAGGGAUAACAGCG